GUAAGCGUGCGCAGGCGGCUUGCAAGACAGAUGUGAAAUCCCCGGGCUCAACCUGGGAACUGCAUUUGUGACUGCAAGGCUAGAGUACGGUAGAGGGGGAUGGAAUUCCGCGUGUAGCAGUGAAAUGCGUAGAUAUGCGGAGGAACACCAAUGGCGAAGGCAAUCCCCUGGACCUGUACUGACGCUCAUGCACGAAAGCGUGGGGAGCAAACAGGAUUAGAUACCCUAGU
rnacentral:rRNA from 1 species